AAAUAGAGCACUUUAAGUAUAUAGAGAAUGUACUUUUUUUAAUAGAAAUGUACUUUUUUUUUCACCUGGGAUGUCAGAACAAUCAAUUCAACUCAUUAACAGAAUGACAGUGCUGCCAUCUAUCGUAAUAACUGCACUUCUGCUGAUGACGUUUACAAAAAUAAUUACAAUAUAGAAAAGUAACAAAAAUAAACACAUAAUAAAUGAAUACAAAUGACACCGCUUGCAAUCUAAUUUGUUUGAUUUGAAUCGACUCAGUCGACUUUAACAAUCACGUGACGACCAACAGGAGGGACUCUGACUGCGUGUCUUCUUCAAGACAAGAGUUUCCCUGAAUCCAUAGUGGAUCGUGAAAUUUCCUGCAGGAUCAUGGACCGACUUGCGAAUGGCAUUGGACAACAACAUAUAGGUCUGACGGUGGGAUUGAGUUUGAUAAUCAUAGCUGUGAUUAUCGUCCUCGCGGCUGUUGUUUACACUCCACCGGGCGCCGCAGCGCGCUGCUUGAGAAGAAACAGGAGUGAAGAACACCUCUCCCUGACUGCUAACAGAAUUUCAUGACUGCUAACAAGAAAAAAGGAACUUUAUGGAUCUCUGUGUUGGACCCACAACAUGGAAUAAACUUAUAAACCAUUAUUAGGCUAUAGGAGGACUGUGAACACUUUUUGCCCCUUUUAAAGUGACUUCCAAACAAAUCAUUUUUCAAACACACGGAAGUUUAAUAACAUGUUAAAUGUCAUGGAAAUUUCUAAAGUGAAUGUAAAUAUGCAAUCUAUUGACCUCAAUUUUUUUUAAUGCUUUUUUACACAAGUAUCAUAAAUCUCUAAACUCUUGUACCUGAAUACAAAUGAAAAUCCUCCCCUGCAAUCUCUGUAAAAUGAUUAUGCCUAUAUUAAAAAAUACAUAUGCAAUAAUCAGGAAUAAACGAAAAAUUUAUGAAAA